AGAGUUUGAUCCUGGCUCAGAAUCAACGCUGGCGGCGCGCCUAACACAUGCAAGUCGAACGAGAAAGCCGGGGCAACCUGGUGAGUAAAGUGGCGUACGGGUGAGUAACACGUGGAUGAUCUACCUCCUUGUGGGGAAUAACCCUGGGAAACCGGGGCUAAUACCGCAUAAGUCCGAGAGGAGAAAGCAGCAAUGCGCUGGGAGAGGAGUCCGCGGCCGAUUAGCUAGUUGGCAGGGUAAAAGCCUACCAAGGCAAAGAUCGGUAGCCGGCCUGAGAGGGCACACGGCCACACUGGCACUGAAACACGGGCCAGACUCCUACGGGAGGCAGCAGUGGGGAAUCUUGCACAAUGGGGGAAACCCUGAUGCAGCGACGCCGCGUGAGCGAUGAAGCCCUUCGGGGUGUAAAGCUCUUUCGGCAGGGAAGAUGAUGACGGUACCUGCAGAAGCAGCUGCGGCUAACUACGUGCCAGCAGCCGCGGUAAUACGUAGGCAGCAAGCGUUGUUCGGAGUUACUGGGCGUAAAGGGUGUGUAGGCGGUUGCUUAAGUUUGGUGUGAAAUCUCCCGGCUCAACUGGGAGGGUGCGCCGAAUACUGAGUGACUCGAGUGCGGGAGAGGAAAGUGGAAUUCCUGGUGUAGCGGUGAAAUGCGUAGAUAUCAGGAGGAACACCGGUGGUGUAGACGGCUUUCUGGACCGUAACUGACGCUGAGACACGAAAGCGUGGGUAGCAAACAGGAUUAGAUACCCUGGUAGUCCACGCCCUAAACGAUGCACAUUUGGUGUGGGUCAUUCAGUUGAUCCGUGCCGGAGCUAACGCGUUAAAUGUGCCGCCUGGGGAGUACAGUCGCAAGGCUGAAACUCAAAGGAAUUGACGGGGGCCCGCACAAGCGGUGGAGCACGUGGUUCAAUUCGACGCAACGCGAAGAACCUUACCUGGGCUCGAACGGCUGGCUAACGGCGGUGGAAACAUCGCUACUCCCGCAAGGGGGUCCAGUCGAGGGUGC
rnacentral:rRNA from 1 species